GCUUCAAUUGAGAACAGAAUCAGAGAAUUGAAUGCUUUUUUGACAUCUAUUGUCCUAGUUUUUUCCUCUUUAGGAGAAGUGAAUAUUUGUUAAUAAAUUAUAUUCAUUCGAUUAUCAGAAUACUUGUGCGAUCAUGAACGGGUCCUAUUUGCACUCAGAUUCUAAAAGUUGAUGCUUGUGGUCUUCAGAUAUCAAUGGAUUUCUGCUUAUGAAGCAUUAGUAUCCUGGAAUUCAUGACCCCUGACCAGCAGAGGUCCUUUUCAGCAUAGUGGAGAUGAAUUACCUCAAAGCAUCCUGAUUGUUGAUUAGGAGGUUAGGUUCAAUGGUUUGGUGAAGCUACUGAAAACAGAGUGUAAGUAUGCCUACUGUUUGCCUCUUGGAGAAAGAUUAGACAUUGGAUUAGUGAUGUUAACAGUCCUAAUUUGUAUUAUUAGUAUGAUGUUAUAGGUAGCAUUGGAUAUCUGGAUUGAACUGUUUUGGUAUUAAUCAAUGAGAUCAGAAAUUGAAGAUUAA